ACCUCCAUGAUGAGCCAAGAGAGCAGCCACAAGCCUGACAGCAGCUGUGUUUUGCCUGGCUCUCGCAUGGGACUCCAUACAGAUGUGCCAAAGGGCAGCCCUGCUCCCUCCUGCAAGCUGCAUCGCCAUGCAGAAGUGCUGCCGGAUCACCCCCACACUUUCAGCGGUGACUUCUAUUUCUAGGGGAACAAGAUUAGACUGGGCAAAGUGGGAUUAUUCACUGGGGAAGGAGCUGCCCUCCAGCUGCAGACAGCAGAUCUUCCCCCUGCCACGUGUGUCCUGUCUUUGCUCUUGGUGAUUUGGCUUGGCUGGUUUUUGUGUUUUAUCGACUUCGCACCAUCCUGCCUUGGCAGAGGCUGCACGUGCUGGUCCCUUGGAGGUGUCCCUGGCUUGGGCAGGAAGUGACAGCCAUAGCAUGACAGUUUUCUCCAGGGCAUGGUGAGGAAGGUCAGCUGGCCCGUGUAGCAUUGUCCUUAUCUUGCAUCAUCUGAGCGCUGCAUCACUUUGGUCAUUUGGAGGACCUCCAAUUUUGGAGCACCUUGGCCCCUUGCUGUCUCUCAU
rnacentral:lncRNA from 1 species